rnacentral:rRNA from 1 species
UGCCAGCAGUCGCGGUUACACCAAGGAAUUAAGUCAUAUCUCAACGGUAAAAAGGCAGUUAGACAGACAUUUUAGGGUUUUUUGAUUAUUUAUAGAAAAGUAAAAUUUGCAUAUAAAUAUAUAAGUUAACAAUAACUAUUAGGUUGAAUCUGCGAUAGCCUGGAGGGAAACUGGGAUUAGAUACCCCAUUAUUCCUGGUCAUAAAUUAAUUAUUAAAUUUACCAGAGUACUAUGAAUACUAUAAAAUUUAAAACUCAAAGGACUUGGCGGUGUUUUAGACCACUUAGGGGAACCUGUCUCAUAAUCGAUAAUCCACGUUACACCUAACCUUUUUUUGCUUUCAGUCUGUAUAUCGUUGUCGUCAGGUAACUUUUUAGAAACUAGAAGUUAGCUAAAAACAUUAAAUUUUAACGUCAAAUCAAGGUGCAGCUAAUAAAAAGGUGAAGAUGGGUUACAAUUAUUUUAAUUAUAAUAACGAAAAACCAUUAGAAUUAAUGGUUAGAAGGAGGACUUAAAAGUAAAUUAAAUUAUAUAAAUAAUUUGAAUAAGGCUCUGAAAUGUGCACACAUCGCCCGCCACUCU